UACGUAGGGUGCGAGCGUUAAUCGGAAUUACUGGGCGUAAAGCGUGCGCAGGCGGUGAUGUAAGACAGGUGUGAAAUCCCCAGGCUUAACCCGGGAACUGCGUCGGAUACUGGAUGGCUUGAAUCCGGGAGAGGGAUGCGGAAUUCCAGGUGUAGCGGUGAAAUGCGUAGAUAUCUGGAGGAACACCGGUGGCGAAGGCGGCAUCCUGGACCGGCAUUGACGCUGAGGAGCGAAAGCCAGGGGAGCAAACGGG
rnacentral:rRNA from 1 species